CGUGGGGUGGGCCAGCCCUGUAGCUCGUCAGGCUCAUAACCUGAAGGUCGCAGGUUCGAAUCCUGCCCCCGCAACCA
rnacentral:tRNA from 2 species